rnacentral:lncRNA from 1 species
CGUGGCAAGGAAAUGCUGACACAGGACGGGCCACGUAGGCGAUCUGCGUGCGCGCAAUCAGACGGCCCAGAUCUGUUCCCACGCGCACGGACGGCCCAGAUUGCAUCGCAAUGGAUGGCCCAGAUUUAAUCCCAAUUAAAUCAUGAUCGGACGGUCCAGAUUUAAUCUUGAUAGACGGUUGAGAUUAAAAGGCAAAGGGUAUAAAUAACCCCACCCACACCUGACCACAAAACCCUAGCCGCCAGUGCCUCGUCGGAGAAGAAGAACCAGACGCCGGAG